CGAAGCUCUUCCGAUGUCUGGGGAAUAAGUUGGGUGGGGAAGAACUUCGUAGCCAAGUUCCCUCAACUUCUAGAGCAUCAUUAGGGAAACGUGUGGUUGAGCAUUGUCAUGAAGAAUGAUUGGCCCUCUUCUGUUGACCAGUCUGGGACGGAGUAGCAGUUUUUCGUCCAUUUUGGUAAUUUCAUGGCAAUAUGUUUCUGCGGUUUUUCCGGGUUUUAAGAAGUUAUGGUGGAUGAGUCCAGCAAUACACAACCAAACAGUCACCAUAACCUUCUUUUUGAAGAUCUCGGCUUUAGGAAAGGUUUUCGGUGCUUCAUUUUGGUC